GUGGAGAAGAGGAAAGGAUGGAAACCCUUCCAUCUGACGAUUGUGUGAGUUCAGGUAGUGGGAACAGUCAUGGGGCCCCCUCUGAUUUCAAACCCCUCCCUCCUGAAACCCGCCUCCGCAAGCGGGGGUGGAGAUGAGUGUGUGGGCGGGAUUUACCAGGCUCUGGGGGAAAGAAGAGGGGAGAGAGGGGAGAGGGAGAAGGGGAUGGAGAGGGGGAUGGAGAGAGAGAGAGAGAGAGAGAGAGAGAGAGAGAGAGAGAGAGAGAGAGAGAGAGAGAGAGAGAGAGAGAGAGAGAGAGAGAGAGCUGAGGAGAGGGAGGGGAGGGACGGAGAGGGAGGGGAGUGAGGGAAAGGAGGGGGAGAGGAGCAGGAAGAGGGACGGGAAAGGGGAGGAGAGCCAGGGAAGGAGGAGGAAGCUGGGAGGAAGACGGAGGAGGGAGAGGACCGAGCUGAGGGAGGCAGCUGGGAAAGGAGAAAGGAGGGGAAGAGGAGCAGGUGGGAGGGAUCAGGGAGAGGGGAGAGGAGGGAGGAGAGGGGAAAGAGGAGGGAAAGCCUUGGGGUGGAGGGCCUGGGGAGGAAGAAAGGCGAGUGAGGUGGGUCGCUGGGAGAGGAAGGUAGGGAGGGCUUUGGGGGUGGGGUGGGCAGGGACGGGGAGGACCUAUGGAGGUAGGCAGCCCAGAGAGGAGAGAGCAGAGAUAAGGGAUGACAGAGGAGGUGUGAGAGAUCCUGGAGAAAAGGAAAAGGGGAGAGGAGGAGGGGCCAGGAGGGAGGAGAAAGGAUCAGAGACCCUCCUUUGUCUAGGGUGGGUGGGGUAUAGAUUCAUAUUCAGCACCAGGGAGAGGGAGCCAGGGAGCUGAGGGGAGGUGGGGAGAAUUCAGAGUGGGAGUUCCAGACUCAAACCCAAGCUCACACAAACUCAGAUACAAUCCCAGGUUCACCAAAAACACACAGAGUGCCAGGUUCACACAAGCUCACACACAAUGCCAGGUUCACACAAGCUCAGACUCACAAUUCCAGGUUCACACACUGACACAGUCCGGGUUCAUAUGAUCUCAGAGCCACACACACAGUCCCCAGCUCAGAUACAAAUCGGUUGCUUUUCUCACCAGUCAGUUGAACAGCCAGACUCCCUCCGUCCUAAAGGCCCCUCCCCAUCAGGCCCCAGCCUCCUUCCUCUGGGUCAGGGAAAGAAAAUAGGAGAGGCAGGCAUGCCAGAGGGGUUGUGCCAGCUCUGGCCCCAGACUACCCCCUGGCACAGGCUGACUGCUG
rnacentral:lncRNA from 1 species